UACGUAGGGGGCAAGCGUUGUCCGGAAUCACUGGGCGUAAAGCGUGCGUAGGCGGUCUGAUAAGUCUAGGGUGAAAGUCCAGAGCUCAACUCUGGGAUUGCCUUGGAAACUGUUGGACUUGAGUACUGGAGAGGCAAGGGGAAUUCCACGUGUAGCGGUGAAAUGCGUAGAUAUGUGGAGGAAUACCAGUGGCGAAGGCGCCUUGCUGGACAGUGACUGACGCUGAGGCACGAAAGCGUGGGGAGCAAACAGG
rnacentral:rRNA from 1 species